rnacentral:rRNA from 1 species
AUUGAACGCUGGCGGCAGGCCUAACACAUGCAAGUCGAGCGGUAGCACAGAGAGCUUGCUCUCGGGUGACGAGCGGCGGACGGGUGAGUAAUGUCUGGGAAACUGCCUGAUGGAGGGGGAUAACUACUGGAAACGGUAGCUAAUACCGCAUAACGUCGCAAGACCAAAGUGGGGGGCCUUCGGGCCUCAUGCCAUCAGAUGUGCCCAGAUGGGAUUAGCUAGUAGGUGGGGUAACGGCUCACCUAGGCGACGAUCCCUAGCUGGUCUGAGAGGAUGACCAGCCACACUGGAACUGAGACACGGUCCAGACUCCUACGGGAGGCAGCAGUGGGGAAUAUUGCACAAUGGGCGCAAGCCUGAUGCAGCCAUGCCGCGUGUGUGAAGAAGGCCUUCGGGUUGUAAAGCACUUUCAGCGGGGAGGAAGGCGAUAAGGUUAAUAACCUCAUCGAUUGACGUUACCCGCAGAAGAAGCACCGGCUAACUCCGUGCCAGCAGCCGCGGUAAUACGGAGGGUGCAAGCGUUAAUCGGAAUUACUGGGCGUAAAGCGCACGCAGGCGGUCUGUCAAGUCGGAUGUGAAAUCCCCGGGCUCAACCUGGGAACUGCAUUCGAAACUGGCAGGCUAGAGUCUUGUAGAGGGGGGUGGAAUUCCAGGUGUAGCGGUGAAAUGCGUAGAGAUCUGGAGGAAUACCGGUGGCGAAGGCGGCCCCCUGGACAAAGACUGACGCUCAUGUGCGAAAGCGUGGGGAGCAAACAGGAUUAGAUACCCUGGUAGUCCACGCCGUAAACGAUGUCGAUUUGGAGGUUGUGCCCUUGAGGCGUGGCUUCCGGAGCUAACGCGUUAAAUCGACCGCCUGGGGAGUACGGCCGCAAGGUUAAAACUCAAAUGAAUUGACGGGGGCCCGCACAAGCGGUGGAGCAUGUGGUUUAAUUCGAUGCAACGCGAAGAACCUUACCUGGUCUUGACAUCCACAGAACUUUCCAGAGAUGGAUUGGUGCCUUCGGGAACUGUGAGACAGGUGCUGCAUGGCUGUCGUCAGCUCGUGUUGUGAAAUGUUGGGUUAAGUCCCGCAACGAGCGCAACCCUUAUCCUUUGUUGCCAGCGGUUAGGCCGGGAACUCAAAGGAGACUGCCAGUGAUAAACUGGAGGAAGGUGGGGAUGACGUCAAGUCAUCAUGGCCCUUACGACCAGGGCUACACACGUGCUACAAUGGCAUAUACAAAGAGAAGCGACCUCGCGAGAGCAAGCGGACCUCAUAAAGUAUGUCGUAGUCCGGAUUGGAGUCUGCAACUCGACUCCAUGAAGUCGGAAUCGCUAGUAAUCGUAGAUCAGAAUGCUACGGUGAAUACGUUCCCGGGCCUUGUACACACCGCCCGUCACACCAUGGGAGUGGGUUGCAAAAGAAGUAGGUAGCUUAACCUUCGGGAGGGCGCUUACCACUUUGUGAUUCAUGACUGGGGUGA